CUUAAUUCUAAAGCUCUGGGAGAAAACCAGCGAGGAGACAGAGAAAAUCACCACCACCAUCUACCUCCUUCAAUUUCAUCCUCUUUCACCGCCAUCACCACCACCACCACCACCAUCUUCUUCGUUCUUCUUUUCUCUUCAUUUCCCUAGGUUUAGCGUUUUGAAUUGAUGUUCUAACCUGCAACCCUAAAUACCAGAUUAGAUGAAUAACGUCGAAGCCCAAGACUUAGAGUUUGGAAUUGAUAUUCUAACCUGCAACCCUAAAUACCUGGGUAAAAAUUUCUUCUUUCUUCUCACAAUUAAACAUUCAAUUUUGGUUUUGUAAUAAUUUCAGUUAUAAUUUCAAUGUUAUUAUCUUCCCAAUUUCGAUUUUAACUUCACUUAGAAAGAGAAUUUCAGUUUUACUAAGCAACAAAUUUAUAGCUAAGUAAAUUGAAUUUCAACUUUUUGGUUUGUGGAUGGAUCACGUCGAAGCCUAAGACUUAUGGAGCUAGCUCGAAUUGUAGAGCAAGCCGAGAGUGAUGCAGACAAAAAAAAAGCCAUUGCGGAAUGCUCAGUAUAAAGCGAAACAAGAGAAAAUGUCAGACGAUGAAAGAAAGGCAUUGAAGGAAGAUGUCGUCUUGCUUAUCGCAAUCGAUUCGGAGCCAGUACAAGUUGUAAGCUUACCAAUUCUGUGCACAACUCUUUAACUUGCAUUAGCUUUAUAGUCACAUUGCUUACAUCAGACUUAGAGAUAUUUCUUUUCGUAAUCCGUUCAAGUUGAUGCAUCUACUAUAAGCAGUGUGGUUGUUGUUGGCGGUGAGUCGUGGUGGUGAUUAAUUGUGAGCAGAAAUGAUGGGAGAAUCUGAGAUAGAAUUGUUGAAGAUUAUCCGGGAAAAAAGACUUGAGAUGUACAAAAAGGAUUUGUGUGUUUUCCUUAUCAUUUACUUCUUAUUUUGUUUCAGUUAUAGCUGUAUAUGAGAAAACUAGACAUUGACGCGUACCUUUUUAUGUUCUCUUCAAGAGUGCAGUUCAGAAGCUAGAGGCGGUAAUACUAACAUGAAAGAUCGGGUAAUCGGUAUGGUUCAACAACCUGGUAGUUGCUUAAUGUUGUGGACAAGUGAGUUUGGGACAGUUCAUUGUUGCUGAAAAAGAGCAAGGUGUAGAUGCUUCUAAGGAUGCCAAAUGAUAAAAUAAAGUAUUCAGUAUUUGCUGGCAUAUGGCUUAUGGAGAUAUUGCCAUUAUCAUUUGGUUUUUGUUUAUCAAUUUUGUACUAUGAGAUAUUAUCAAAUUCAGGUUUGGGUAUGCCAGGUAGUUUAUAUAGAUUGUUUAUGGGAAUAUAUUGAAAAUUCUUAGGCAAUGUGAUUCUUUUGGAAAUUACCAAUUA